AUUGAACGCUGGCGGCAGGCCUAACACAUGCAAGUCGAGCGAGCGGGGGACGGGUGAGUAAUGUAUGGGAAACUGCCUGAUGGGGUGGGAUAACUACUGGAAACGGUAGCUAAUACCGCAUACGAUCAGAUGUGCCCAGAUGGGAUUAUCUAGUAGGUGGGGUAACGGCUCACCUAGGCGACGAUCCCUAUCUGGUCUGAGAGGAUGACCAGUCACACUGGAACUGAGAGACGGUCCAGACUCCUACGGGAGUCAGCAGUGGGGAAUAUUGGACAAUGGGCGCAAGCCUGAUGCAGCCAUGCCGCGUGUGUGAAGAAGGCCUUCGGGUUGUAAAGCACUUUCAGCGGGGAGGCGUUACCCGCAGAAGAAGCACCGGCUAACUCCGUGCCAGCAGCCGCGGUAAUUC
rnacentral:rRNA from 1 species